GGGCUAAUACCGGAUAACAUUUUGAACNGCAUGGUUCGAAAUUGAAAGGCGGCUUCGGCUGUCACUUAUGGAUGGACCCGCGUCGCAUUAGCUAGUUGGUGAGGUAACGGCUCCCAAGGCAACGAUGCGUAGCCGACCUGAGAGGGUGAUCGGCCACACUGGGACUGAGACACGGCCAGACUCCUACGGGAGGCAGCAGUAGGGAAUCUUCCGCAAUGGACGAAAGUCUGACGGAGCAACGCCGCGUGAGUGAUGAAGGCUUUCGGGUCGUAAAACUCUGUUGUUAGGGAAGAACAAGUGCUAGUUGAAUAAGCUGGCACCUUGACGGUACCUAACCAGAAAGCCACGGCUAACUACGUGCCAGCAGCCGCGGUAAUACGUAGGUGGCAAGCGUUAUCCGGAAUUAUUGGGCGUAAAGCGCGCGCAGGUGGUUUCUUAAGUCUGAUGUGAAAGCCCACGGCUCAACCGUGGAGGGUCAUUGGAAACUGGGAGACUUGAGUGCAGAAGAGGAAAGUGGAAUUCCAUGUGUAGCGGUGAAAUGCGUAGAGAUAUGGAGGAACACCAGUGGCGAAGGCGACUUUCUGGUCUGUAACUGACACU
rnacentral:rRNA from 1 species